ACCAGCUUCAUUUGCACGGUUUCACAAUAUUGCGACUCCAUGGUGGCGCCGCUGGUAGGCGGAGACACAGCAAGUUGAGAAUUUCUACAGCUUCUGGCUGUGCCGGCUUCGAUUUGUACCCGAACUGUCUCGUGUUUUUUGGAUUAGCAUUUUCUGAGAGGUAAUCGGAAGAGAUGAUACUGGUGGCGAUCGUGGCGGAGGUGCUAGAGGAGUACACGGCGGUGCUGGCGAGGGUCGUGGAGCAAGUAUUCCGCUCUGCCCCUGUUCCUCGGCGGGUUCGUUUCCUCAUCCUCCAUAGUCUUCCAUUUACUUCUUCUCGCCCUGGGCUUCUGGCUCCUGCGCCGCACUGACUCGAUUCUUUCUUUGAAUUCGAUGUAGAGCUUCUAAAUUUUGUUUUGUUGAAGCGUGUUUGACAAUAUCGUGUCGCUUGUUCGUGCUUUUUUCUUCUCGAUUUUCUCCUCCAUUUUUCUUUCUUUUUUCUUUUGCUUGAUUUUUUUCGAGUUUCUCUUUUCGAUCUGUGUAUAUUGUCUCUCCCCAGGUUUGUAUAAAUAUGUUGGUUUUGGCCUCGAUCACAGAUGCUCUUUGGUUAAGAUUUUCAGUGAUUCUACAGUAACUCUGUUCUGUUCAUUCCCCUGCCCUUGUUUGCGAUGAAUUGGACCUAGAAUCUGAAGCAGCUUCUUGAUAAUUUUCUGGUGAUGCGAAGAUGAUUAAUUGAUAA